rnacentral:rRNA from 1 species
UACGUAGGGGGCAAGCGUUGUCCGGAAUUAUUGGGCGUAAAGAGCGCGUAGGCGGUCCGAUAAGUCGGCUGUGAAAGUCAGGGGCUCAACCCUUGGAAGCCGGCCGAUACUGUCGGACUAGAGUCCGGAAGAGGCAAGUGGAAUUCCCGGUGUAGCGGUGAAAUGCGCAGAUAUCAGGAAGAACACCCGUGGCGAAGGCGGCUCUCUGGGACGGUACUGACGCUGAGACGCGAAAGCGUGGGGAGCGAACAGG